rnacentral:rRNA from 1 species
GAUGAACGCUAGCUACAGGCUUAACACAUGCAAGUCGAGGGGUAACGAGAGGAAAGCUUGCUUUCCUUGUCGACGACCGGCGCACGGGUGAGUAACGCGUAUCCAACCUGCCCCCAACUAAGGAAUAACCUUGCGAAAGUAAGACUAAUACCUUAUAAUUUCCUCAGAUGUCAUCUGACGAGGAAUAAAGAUUUAUCGGUUGUGGAUGGGGAUGCGUCUGAUUAGCUUGUUGGCGGGGUAACGGCCCACCAAGGCAACGAUCAGUAGGGGUUCUGCGAGGAAGGUCCCCCACAUUGGAACUGAGACACGGUCCAAACUCCUACGGGAGGCAGCAGUGAGGAAUAUUGGUCAAUGGGCGGAAGCCUGAACCAGCCAAGUAGCGUGCAGGAUGACGGCCCUAUGGGUUGUAAACUGCUUUUAUACAGGAAUAAAGUUAGCCACGUGUGGUUAUUUGUAGGUACUGUAUGAAUAAGGACCGGCUAAUUCCGUGCCAGCCGCCGCUGUAA